AUACCUUUCUCGGCCUUUUGGCUAAGAUCAAGUGUAAGUCAGUUUAAUAUCUAAUAUGUGAGACCUCACCCACACAAUGGUAUUAAAUUUAUUUUUUAGGAAGAGCCUGUUAUCUGGGCUUUUGUGUGUCGUCCUAGCAUUACACUAUUGCUUAGGCUUGGCGUACCCCAA
rnacentral:snRNA from 2 species